AUUGAACGCUGGCGGCAUGCUUUACACAUGCCAGUCGAACGGUAACAGGCCUUCGGGUGCUGACGAGUGGCGAACGGGUGAGUAAUGCAUCGGAACGUACCCAGAGGUGGGGGAUAACGCAGCGAAAGCUGUGCUAAUACCGCAUGUGAUCUGAGGAUGAAAGCGGGGGACCGAGCAGCAAUGUUUGGCCUCGCGCCUUUGGAGCGGCCGAUGUCGGAUUAGCUAGUUGGUGGGGUAAAGGCCUACCAAGGCGACGAUCCGUAGCUGGUCUGAGAGGACGACCAGCCACACUGGGACUGAGACACGGCCCAGACUCCUACGGGAGGCAGCAGUGGGGAAUUUUGGACAAUGGGCGCGAGCCUGAUCCAGCAAUGCCGCGUGCGGGAAGAAGGCCUUCGGGUUGUAAACCGCUUUUGGCAGGAACGAAACGGUGUCCGCUAAUACCGGGCGCUAAUGACGGUACCUGCAGAAUAAGCACCGGCUAACUACGUG
rnacentral:rRNA from 1 species